rnacentral:rRNA from 1 species
GUGAAAUUGUUGAAAGGGAAACGCUUGAAGUCAGUCGCGUCGACCGAGACUCAGCCUUGCCUUGGCUUGGUGUACUUCUCGGCUGACGGGUCAGCAUCAAUUUUGCCCCUUGGAUAAUGAUGAGGGAAACGUGACACCUUUAUGGUGUGUUAUAGUCUCUUGUCGCAUGCAAGGGUCGGGAUUGAGGAACUCAGCACGCACCUUUGGGUGUCGGGGCUUUGCCCACGAUACGUGCUUAGGAUGUUGGCGUAAUGGCUUUAAACGACCCGUCUUGAAACACGGACCAAGGAGUCUAACAUGCCUGCGAGUGUUCGGGUGGAAAACCCGUGCGCGUAAUGAAAGUAAAAGUUGGGACCUCUGUCGUGGAGGGCACCGACGCCCGGACCAGACCUUCUGUGACGGCUCUGCGGUAAAGCAUGUAUGUUAGGACCCGAAAGAUGGUGAACUAUGCCUGAAUAGGGUGAAGCCAGAGGAAACUCUGGUGGAGGCUCGUAGCGAUUCUGACGUGCAAAUCGAUCGUCAAAUUUGGGUAUAGGGGCGAAAGACUAAUCGAACCAUCUAGUAGCUGGUUCCUGCCGA